AGAGUUUGAUCCUGGCUCAGGAUGAACGCUGGCGGCGUGCUUAACACAUGCAAGUCGAACGGACUUUAUAUGAAGCCUAGCGAUUAUAAAGUUAGUGGCGGACGGGUGAGUAACGCGUGAAUAACCUGCCCUGUACCGGGGGACAACAGUUGGAAACGGCUGCUAAUACCGCAUAAGCGCACGGUUCCGCAUGGAACAGUGUGAAAAACUCCGGUGGUACAGGAUGGAUUCACGUCUGAUUAGCCAGUUGGUGGGGUAACGGGCCUACCAAAGCAACGAUCAGUAGCCGGCCUGAGAGGGUGAACCGGCCACAUUGGGACUGAGACACGGCCCAAACUCCUACGGGAGGCGGCA
rnacentral:rRNA from 1 species